UGUAUUAAUAUGCUACAUUAGUAGAUGAAAGGAGAAAAAGCCAUUGAUGCCAAAAAGUUUCUUGGUUGAAUUAAGCCUUGAAGUUGGAUAGAUUCUCCUGAUGCCAAAAAGUUUCUUGGUUUAAAUUUUCAAAUGUGGAUACUAUUGAUAUUUCUUUGACCCACUGGUUCUACUUCUAGGGAUUUAUUACAUAGAACUACUUGCACCAGCGCAAGACUGUUCUGCAGUGUUCCAUGUAAGAGCAAAUCUUUAGAAGUAACUUGAAUAUCCAUGAACUGGGGACUGGUUAAAUAAAUCAUGACAUAUUUACCAGAUAGCACACUAAGAUGUUAAAGUGACUGUGAUGUAUCUUAAGGUAUUGGUUUGGAGUGACUUCUCCCGGUUUGGAGUGACUUUUGCUGUUUUUUUGAGCUUUCUAUUAAUUGAAACAUAUACUGUGUUCUCUUGCAUUGUCUUCUACUCAAGGUUAUGGUUGUAAAGUUCAUCAUUGCUGAGAGCAAUGGUAGUUGGUUUAUUCUCAUUGCUGUGAAUACAUCAAAGUUUCAUAACUUUAAUUAUUCAGAGCUUAAGUUUGUUUUCUAGUUAGAAAAAAAACAGUUUUAAAAAAAAUAAAAUUUGAUGGCAGUUACAUCUCAAAUUGGAUGUGUUUUAUAACUUGGAAUUUUUACACAACAUUAGUCCAACCUGGGAUUUCUAACCUGGGAUUCAUUCUCCCGUCUUCUUCAUCUCCUUUUGGUUUCUCUCCUUUGGGUCUUUGGUCAUUAGUGUCACCACAGUAAAGGGAAGAGGAAACAGGAAGGAGAUGAAAUCUGAAUCUCUUAAUUGUCUUCUCAUUGCUGCUGUGGCUAAGGAUGGUUUAAAGUAAAUUAGCUUUUUUAUUAAUGUACCCCUCCCAGGAGCUGUGAUGCUGGUGCUCAAAUAGAAUUUCUAGUACAUAAUCAGUGUUAUUGUGGUCAGUGUCUUGUUUAGUCUGGAAUUCUAGACUUUUGGCUGUAUUUGACAUCCAUUUACUUAGGUUUAAUCAUAAUUUUAGAGGUAAAGAUUUCUUUAGAGCCGCUCUGAACAGGUUUGCACCUGCUGGUGAGGAGGCAGUGUCUGUAGGGGUCUCUCUCCUCCACACGGUGGCAGUGGUGGGGCCCAAUCCAGAGCUGACUCCUGGUGCUCCUUUUAGAGGCAUGCUGCCUCUCUAGGUCAAGAGCCCUUUUGAUGGGCUGGGGAUAUAGCUCAGUGGGUAGCUUGCAGGCACAAGGCCCUGGGGGUUUGAUCAAAAAAAAAAAAAAAAAAGGCCUUUUGAACUCCUUUACAAAAGCUGUUAGCAGUCGUGUUCUAUUGUUCGCUUGUUCCCAGUACUCUGGGGACUUUAAGUUGUUAAGCAAUUUGGAAUUGAUUUUUUUUUUUUUGGAUCGGGGGAGGUUCCAGAGAUUGAACUCAGGGGUAUUCAACCACUGAGCCACAUCCGCAGCCCUAUUUUGUAUUUUAUUUAGAGACAGGGUCUCACUGAGUUGCUUAGCAGCUCAAUUUUUGCUGAGGCUGGCUUUGAACUCAUGAUCCUCCUGCCUGAGCCCUCCUGAGCCACUGGGAUCACAGGCGUGUGCCACCGUGCCUGGCUUAACUUUGAUUUUUAUACCUAGUCCUGGGCAGUGUAGCCCUUUCUUGUUUUUUUUUGUUUUUGUUUUUUGUUUUUUGUGGGUUUUUAAAAAACUUCUUCAAAUAGGUGAGUUGAUUUUUGUUUCUUUUUGUUUUCCCACUUUUUUUUUUGGGGGGGGGAACACCAGGGAUUGAACUCAGGGACACUCGACCACUGAGCCACAUCCCCAGCCCUAUUUUGUAUUUUCUUUAGAGACAGGGUCUCACUGAGUUGCUUAGCACCUUGCUUUUGCUGAGGCUGGGCUUUGAACUGGCGAUCCUCCUGCCUCUGCCUCCUGAGCCCCUGGGAUUACUGG
rnacentral:lncRNA from 1 species